rnacentral:rRNA from 1 species
UGGGGAAUAUUGGACAAUGGGCGCAAGCCUGAUCCAGCCAUGCCGCGUGGAUGAAGAAGGCCCUAGGGUUGUAAAGUCCUUUCGACGGAGACGAUAAUGACGGUAUCCGUAGAAGAAGCCCCGGCUAAUUUCGUGCCAGCAGCCGCGGUAAUACGAAAGGGGCUAGCGUUGUUCGGAAUUACUGGGCGUAAAGCGCACGUAGGCGGUCGUGUAAGAUGGGGGUGAAAUCCCGGGGCUCAACUCCGGAACUGCCUUCAUGACUGCAUGGCUAGAGGAUGCGAGAGGUUGGCGGAAUUCCGAGUGUAGAGGUGAAAUUCGUAGAUAUUCGGAAGAACACCAGUGGCGAAGGCGGCCAACUGGCGCAUUUCUGACGCUGAGGUGCGAAAGCGUGGGGAGCAAACAGG